GAUGAACGCUGGCGGCGUGCUUAACACAUGCAAGUCGAACGAUGAAGCCCAGCUUGCUGGGUGGAUUAGUGGCGAACGGGUGAGUAACACGUGAGUAACCUGCCCUUAACUCUGGGAUAAGCCUGGGAAACUGGGUCUAAUACCGGAUAGGAGCGUCCACCGCAUGGUGGGUGUUGGAAAGAUUUAUCGGUUUUGGAUGGACUCGCGGCCUAUCAGCUUGUUGGUGAGGUAAUGGCUCACCAAGGCGACGACGGGUAGCCGGCCUGAGAGGGUGACCGGCCACACUGGGACUGAGACACGGCCCAGACUCCUACGGGAGGCAACAGUGGGGAAUAUUGCACAAUGGGCGCAAGCCUGAUGCAGCGACGCCGCGUGAGGGAUGACGGCCUUCGGGUUGUAAACCUCUUUCAGUAGGGAAGAAGCGAAAGUGACGGUACCUGCAGAAGAAGCACCGGCUAACUACGUG
rnacentral:rRNA from 1 species